rnacentral:lncRNA from 1 species
CUUUUAUGUUAAUUUGAUUACAUUUCAGGAAAAUGUCAUCACUCUAAGAGUAGAAAUGUAGAACAUAUAUUUGUAGCAUUAUUAAACUAAUCUCCCCUAAGGUACUAGCUGUGACCAGUACAAAUAGCGGGCAUUGCUUUGUCUUUUCCAGAUAAUCAGGGUGCUAUUUCUUUUCUUGAAUAGGUAAGCUGCUAAUUACCCUUCCAUCGCUGGUCAGCUCCGGUACAGUUUCUUGCUGAUGAAGAGAAGGGUUGUUGUUAACCCUGUGGCCACCUCUGGAACAUUGCACAUUCAGAUUAUAAACUCUGUGCCUUGUUCACUAUGUGUUUCCCCAGUACCUGAAGUGCCCUGCACUGCUGGGUCCCAGUGCAUAGUUCUUGAAAAAAAACAAAGUGCAGCAAAUGGUAACUGGUGCACGAGUGCAUGAGAGGAUGGCUUGUGUCCCCAGCCACUGGAGCUGCUACUGAUUUGAUUAAUGUGGAAAUUCGCAUUACCUGCACAGGAAGGCAGAGCCAUAGAACAACUGCGGCCAGGAAUGAUCUGUCCAGUGACAGGGCUCUUCACUUUGAGAUGCAUGGGACAUCACUACAGGCAAAUCUCUGUGCUCAGGUUCCUAACAGGGCCAGCAACAGCUGAGACCUCAGAAUUACCGAGCAAGUUUAUGCACUUACUUGAAGAAAAGAAAAAGAAGAACAAGAACAUUUUAACUCUCAGGAACACAUGAGGCUGCUAUUAUAUAUAUAUAUUAAAGUUGAUGACCUAUCGAAUUUGAAAAAG